AUUGAACGCUGGCGGCAGGCCUAACACAUGCAAGUCGAACGAGUGGCGGACGGGUGGGUAAUGUAUGGGAAACUGCCCGAUGGAGGGGGAUAACUACUGGAAACGGUAGCUAAUACCGCAUACCAUCGGAUGUGCCCAUAUGGGAUUAGCUAGUAGGUGGGGUAAAGGCUCACCUAGGCGACGAUCCCUAGCUGGUCUGAGAGGAUGACCAGCCACACUGGAACUGGGACACGGUCCAGACUCCUACGGGAGGCAGCAGUGGGGAAUAUUGCACAAUGGGCGCAAGCCUAAUGCAGCCAUGCCGCGUGUAUGAAGAAGGCCUUCGGGUUGUAAAGUACUUUCAGCGAGGAGGCGUUACCCGCAGAAGAAGCACCGGCUAACUCCGUGCCAGCAGCCGCGGUAAUUC
rnacentral:rRNA from 1 species